rnacentral:rRNA from 1 species
AGAGUUUGAUCAUGGCUCAGAUUGAACGCUGGCGGCAUGCUUUACACAUGCAAGUCGAACGGCAGCGCGGGGCAACCUGGCGGCGAGUGGCGAACGGGUGAGUAAUAUAUCGGAACGUACCCAGAAGUGGGGGAUAACGUAGCGAAAGUUACGCUAAUACCGCAUACGAUCUACGGAUGAAAGUGGGGGACCUUCGGGCCUCAUGCUUGUGGAGCGGCCGAUAUCUGAUUAGCUAGUUGGUGAGGUAAAGGCUCACCAAGGCAACGAUCAGUAGCUGGUCUGAGAGGACGACCAGCCACACUGGGACUGAGACACGGCCCAGACUCCUACGGGAGGCAGCAGUGGGGAAUUUUGGACAAUGGGCGCAAGCCUGAUCCAGCAAUGCCGCGUGAGUGAAGAAGGCCUUCGGGUUGUAAAGCUCUUUUGUCAGGGAAGAAACGGCUGAGGUUAAUACCUUUGGCUAAUGACGGUACCUGAAGAAUAAGCACCGGCUAACUACGUGCCAGCAGCCGCGGUAAUACGUAGGGUGCAAGCGUUAAUCGGAAUUACUGGGCGUAAAGCGUGCGCAGGCGGUUUUGUAAGUCUGUCGUGAAAGCCCCGGGCUCAACCUGGGAAUUGCGAUGGAGACUGCAAGGCUUGAAUCUGGCAGAGGGGGGUAGAAUUCCACGUAGCAGUGAAAUGCGUAGAGAUGUGGAGGAACACCGAUGGCGAAGGCAGCCCCCUGGGUCAAGAUUGACGCUCAUGCACGAAAGCGUGGGGAGCAAACAGGAUUAGAUACCCUAGUAGUCC